rnacentral:rRNA from 1 species
CAAACUAAAGCUGGCGACCGGCGCACGGGUGAGUAACACGUAUCCAACCUGCCUCAUACUCGGGGAUAGCCUUUCGAAAGAAAGAUUAAUAUCCGAUAGCAUAUAUUUCCCGCAUGGGUUUUAUAUUAAAGAAAUUCGGUAUGAGAUGGGGAUGCGUUCCAUUAGUUUGUUGGGGGGGUAACGGCCCACCAAGACUACGAUGGAUAGGGGUUCUGAGAGGAAGGUCCCCCACAUUGGAACUGAGACACGGUCCAA